CAAAAAAAAAAAAAAAGAGAAAAAAAAAAAAAAAACCUUCACUGCCCUGUAAUUAUUUAACUUUUGGCAAAUUGAAUAGGAAAUGUUUUGAUUUUUAUUCUUAUUAUUAAUCUUAAAUUGUAUAAUUAAUCCGUGAUAAUAAUAUGCCACGGUCAUUUCCAGCGUCGAUUAGCUUUUGUUGGUAUCACCAUCUACACGUGUCUUAUGAUGAGCAUUGACAAGUGCCUCCUCCGUUGUCCAAAUUACACUUUAAAUAACAUGCAAUAUGUUCCAAAUUUAUUUUUCUAUUUUGGUGCUAAGGCUUUCAUUCAGCCAGCUGGUCAAACGAAAUAGCUUAAACUCUUCCACGACCUCACCUCUGCAUGCAAACCACAUCCUUUCUUGUGCCAUCUGUCAUGGCUUAAAGCCAAAAACAAUUGCUAUAAAAUCAGUCUGCUAAUGUUCCUUUGUCACCGGUUAACACCAAACCAAAGGAAACCAUUCUCCAACAAAACUUCAAAAAUGGCGACAACUCACGCACGAGUCCCCGGCGAGCCAACCCCGACGGGCAUGGCCAUCCUCGAGACUGCAACGGCCACAGUCCAAAGCUUCAGCCCCAUCAACAGCAUCCACCAGCACCUCUGCGCCUUCCACUUAUACUCCCACGACAUGACCCGUCAACUGGAAGCUCACCACUUCUGCGCCCACCAGAACGAAGAGAUGCGCCAGUGCCUCAUCUACGACAGCCCUGAGGCCGAUGCAAAACUCAUCGGCCUCGCGUACAUCAUCUCAGAACUCCUCUUCCUCACCCUCCCUGAUGACGAGAAGCCGCUCUGGCACUCGCACGAGUACGAGGUGAAGAGCGGCGUUCUCUUCAUGCCGGGUCUACCGGGCCCCAUCCAGAGGGAGGACCUGGACAAGGUGUGCUAGACGUACGGGAAGACGAUUCAUUUUUGGCAAGUGGAUAGGGGGGAUGAGUUGCCGCUUGGGAUUCCGCAGGCUAUGUUGGCGUUGACCAGGGACGGUCAACUGCGGCCGGAGCUAGCAAUAGAUGUUCAGAUGAGGUACGGGGUGAGCUUCGAUGAGGAGAGAGAGAAGCGAGCGUACAUGGCGGGGCCGAAGCUUGCGGUGCAUCCUUUGGCUAAUGGAGGAGGGAAAGGGUUGAAGACUGAGCUCAGGGAGACCGACUGCAUGCCAGUAGAUUCUGUUCCCAGGGUCUUUGUUUGAGUCCACUAUAUAUAUGUAUGUAAAAUAAAGCUUCUAUAUGUUUUU